AUCUCUUUGUCUCAAAAAUUUGAAAUCCUAUUAGUUUAGCGAACUUUAUAUAUUAUUGGGCAAUAUGGUUAUGCUUUCGUUGUGUCUGAGAGACAGAGCACUGAUCCAGUUUGUGAUCAAUUGCAUUUAGGGGUUUUGAUUUGGUCAUGAUGUUGCAGAUUGAGACAAGUUUUGGGAAAGAAAACACAUUUAAUUAAGUUUGGAGUUGAUUUUGUUUGAGUUUAGAGGGGAAGUUCUCUAGCCGAUUUGGGGUGGGUAAUUUUGUGUUUACAACUAUGAAUUCUGUGCAAAUUUCAUUUUUUUGAUUUUGGGGAUUUUAUUUCCAGGCUAGAAUGCCGUCGUUUUCUAAAGCCCUCUGUGCUCAAGGUAAGAAAUUUAAACUUUUGGUGGAUUUGGAGUUUUGAUUAAGUUUGAUCACAUUGUUUCGGUAUAAUAAUUUACUUUGAUUAAAUUGGAGUUGCAGCUAAGUUCCAUUGCGUUCUCGGAUGAGUUGGUUUGUUCUAAGUUUCGGAUAAAGAAUUAUUUCCAUUUGGUUAUAUAUACAUUCAACUCCAAACAUUAUAUAACCGAAGAGAGUGAAAACUGCACUGCUCACAAAGGCAAAACAAGGAAUAGCUUCUACAUAUGGGAAUAAGAGUGGCUAGUUUGAUCGUAAUUGCUUUUUUGAUUUGGUUAAAUCAAAGUUAGGCUUGGGUCUAAUUCAGUUGUUUGCUUGCACAGGUUGAAGUCGCUAGCUUUAUAAUGCUGGUGACUGAAAUAAAACCCGAGUUCAUGUUAAAAUGAUAUCAUAAUUUUCAUUAUGGUGAGAACUGAGAACUUAGACCCAUUUUUUAUCUUUCCCAUUUUUGAAAUUUAGAAAUUGAA